ACUGUCUAAUUAAAACAAAGCAUUGUGAUGGCCCUAGCGGGUGUUGACACAAUGUGAUUUCUGCCCAGUGCUCUUAAUGUCAAAGUGAAGAAAUUCAAGUAAGCGCGGGUCAACGGUGGGAGUAACUAUGACUCUCUUAAGCCCCUUAGAACUUUUCCAUGUUGGUGCAAAUACAAGAAUUCA
rnacentral:ncRNA from 1 species